rnacentral:tmRNA from 1 species
GGGGGCGCAAUGGUUUCGACGGGGAUUCUGAAAUACGGUAAGCGGGUAGAGCCGGGUAACUCUUAAACUGCCCAAGACAAAUUAAACGCGAACGAUAAAGUCGCACUGGCCGCGUAAGCGGUGCCGCUGCCAUAAGGCAGCCCGUUCCUCCCGGGAAUACCGCGGCCCGGGACUGAACGUCAGCUAGCGGUGAACGUGAAUACGGAUAUGCCGUCGGCCGUAUUCAUGUACAAGACGGCUUACCGGGCAGGCAGCCUGUAUGCCGGCGGCCUGCAAGGGAAAUUUAAAUGACAUAAUGCACCCGGAGAAAGCCGUAUUGACGGAUUUUCGGACAGGGGUUCGAUUCCCCUCGCCUCCACCA